rnacentral:rRNA from 1 species
GAUGAACGCUGGCGGCGUGCCUAAUACAUGCAAGUCGAGCGAACGGACGAGAAGCUUGCUUCUCUGAUGUUAGCGGCGGACGGGUGAGUAACACGUGGAUAACCUACCUAUAAGACUGGGAUAACUUCGGGAAACCGGAGCUAAUACCGGAUAAUAUUUUGAACCGCAUGGUUCAAAAGUGAAAGACGUUCUUGCUGUCACUUAUAGAUGGAUCCGCGCUUCAUUAGCUAGUUGGUAAGGUAACGGCUUACCAAGGCAACGAUGCAUAGCCGACCUGAGAGGGUGAUCGGCCACACUGGAACUGAGACACGGUCCAGACUCCUACGGGAGGCAGCAGUAGGGAAUCUUCCGCAAUGGGCGAAAGCCUGACGGAGCAACGCCGCGUGAGUGAUGAAGGUCUUCGGAUCGUAAAACUCUGUUAUUAGGGAAGAACAUAUGUGUAAGUAACUGUGCACAUCUUGACGGUACCUAAUCAGAAAGCCACGGCUAACUACGUG